rnacentral:rRNA from 1 species
AAUGAACGCUGGCGGCAGGCCUAACACAUGCAAGUCGAACGGUAACAGGAAGAAGUUUGCUUCUUUGCUUACGAGUGGCGGACGGGUGUGUAAUGUCUGUGAAACACCUUGAUGGAGGGGGAUAACUACUGGAAACGGUAGCUAAUACCGCAUAACGUCUCAAGCCCAAAAAUGGAGAGUGUCGGGCGGCUUUCCAUCGGAUGUUCCAAGAUUGGAUUAGCGAGUAGGUGGUGUAACGGCUCACCAAGUCAACGAGCCCCAGCUGGUCUGAGAGGGUGACCAGCCACACUGGAACUGAGACACGGUCCAGACUCCUACGGGAGGCAGCAGUGGGGAAUAUUGCACAAUGGGCGAAAGCCUGACGCAGCCAUGCCGCGUGUGUGAAGAAGGCCUUCGGAUCGUAAAGCACUUUCAGCGGGGAGGAAGAGAGUAAAAUGAAUACCUUCACUCAUUGACGUUACCCAAAGAAGAAGCACCGGCUAACUCCGUG